rnacentral:rRNA from 1 species
UACGUAGGGGGCUAGCGUUGUCCGGAUUUAUUGGGCGUAAAGAGCGUGUAGGCGGCCAGGUAGGUCCGUUGUGAAAACUCGAGGCUCAACCUCGAGACGUCGGCGGAAACCCUUUGGCUAGAGUCCGGAAGAGGAGAGUGGAAUUCCUGGUGUAGCGGUGAAAUGCGCAGAUAUCAGGAAGAACACCCGUGGCGAAAGCGGCUCUCUGGGACGGUACUGACGCUGAGACGCGAAAGCGUGGGGAGCGAACAGG